rnacentral:lncRNA from 1 species
GUUCCUAUGGCGACACAAUUUAUAGGACAUGUAAAACUUCCAUUCUUCCUAGUUCAAAGUUCACCUGGAGCAAGAAGAAGGAAACGAAAUGUAUAACAGAAAGAUCAAUACCAUUCUUCUGCGGCCAUGAAAAGAUCAACAACAAACAACUAAUACCUCAGAAAUGAUUGUAUCGAUAAACAGACAUUUAACGAUGUACUACUAGUGAAAAAGAAUGGAAUCAAAUAGAAUUUUUGACUGAGGUUUGAGACUCACGAUUUCCCAGCACCGCUAACUCCCAUUAUGACAAUAGCUUUCCUGUGGAGCAGAAUGCAUCAUCAGACAUUGAUUAAAAAUAAUAAAACAGGAACAAGAAACAGAACAUUCAGAUUGGAUAUAAACAGAUUUCGAUAGACAAUGAUCCCCAAAGUCAAAGUGAAGAUGUGAAACGUAGAAGCCAAGAACUACCAUUCCAAUCCGGUGCCAUAUCUGCGCAGAUCAGAAUAGAUAAUCUUGGGGGGCUUCAGCUCAUGAAAACAGGUACAAAAAUCAGAAGCCCAUUUGACACCUUCACCAAACACUGCUUCCUCAAGAAAUGCCCCUAUACAUGGUGUGGAAGAAAAUUCAAAAAGAUAGGACAUUUCCGGAUAAUACUUCAUUGGGCAUUCUCAUUAAUUAUUCUCCCCAAGAUUACCAUUAAGCUUUGACUGAAAGUGACAACCCAAAAGAGUUAACAGCCAAAAGUAAAGAACGAGCAUCUGAGCCUAAAGACGUAGCGCACCAGAAACGCUAAACAAGAAGAUUCACGAAUGAUCCAAGAGCUUUAAGUGAUAACAAUCACGUUAAAAGAGCUGAGAAGAAUUUGAAAGACAGCAAUCAAUUAAAAUUGAAAACUGUACUUACUCGUCGGCAGGAUAAUAUACCAAAGCAGCCAACCAAAAAACAAUAAAGAAAAAGGUUAGAUGAUUUUGCAGAUUUUUUUUUUUGGUUUUGUUAUUGGCUUUCCGGCGUUUUAUUAAUUACUUACCUGGGCUAUUGCCUAUUGGUGAUGAUAAUAUUUGCCGGUACUGCCGUGUCAGACGUUUGAGCGCAGCAGCAGUAGGAGGAAGAACGAUCGAACUUGUCCACCGGCCACCAACCACCCCAAUCCAGGCCGUGCAUCCUGUAUUUACCUCAAUUAGUGCUGCACGAGCUUCUU